AAUUGUUCCUUUCUUUUUUCUUCUUUGAUUAUCUUCAAUUUUGGAAUUUGAUUUGGGAUUUUGUGUGAUCAUUAAAAUUUAGUUUGGAUCAAGUACAAUGACUUUAAUUUCAAAUGAUCCAUAUGAAGUGUGAUAAUAGUUUUGUUGUUGUUGUUGUUGUUCAUGUGUGGUCUAACAAUAAAAUCUGUCUACCUCACAAGCUGUUGCUGGACUUGCUUAUAAGCUGAAGGAUUUGGUAGUGAACAUUGAUUCAACUGACAUGGACAAUGAAUUGGCUGCAACUGAGUACAUUGAUGAUAUCUAUAACUUUUACAAACUCACUAAAGUGAUGGCCUGGACUUUGUGUUUUUAUGUAGCAACAGAUGGUUAUAUAUAUGUGCUAAUUACUGGUGACUGCUGUGCUUGUGUCUUCAGACCAAAGAGCUACAAAUAUUUUUGCUUUCCACUUUAGCCUACAAGUUUUGACUUGGUUGUACAUUUUGCUGCUGCUGCUGCUUGCUGCUUCAUCCGAAUUGGUUGAAGAGUUUCUCUAUACAGAAAAAACCUUUCACUUAAAGAGAUAUAAAUUGUCUCUAACAAGGUGACACUCACUGCUUUCAUUCACCCUAUGCGGGGAAUAUUCAUGAAGUGCAUUUCUUGGAAUAUUCAUGAAGUGUUGUGCUAGUCUCAACUGAACAGCGACAAGGUCUGCAAUCGGUGUGGCUUGCCGCUGUGGAACAUAAGGAAUAUGAUCAUCUUCAAGGAAGGGCAUUUGGAUGGGGAACGAGUUGUGGAGAUAGCACUGUUAAGGGCAUGGAACUGGUUAAGAGCGAAGAAGAAGGAUUUCAAAUUUUCCACAUAUGAAUGGGUAGUCAAUCCAAGGUACUCUGAUGAAUUUUCCAUUGGAAGCUUGUAAAUGUUAUCUGACUCUACUUUCCUAGAGUUCUUUCUCACGUUGCUUACUGUUUUCAAGUCUGUGGGCCUCCAUAGAGUUCAAUCCUUGGUGGUAUAUUGCUUACGAGUAGUACUGCUUCUUCUAAGAUAGGUAGAUGCUGUAUAUAUAUUCUGCCUGGGUGCUUGAGUACAGAGUUUAGUUUUGAGCAGGUUUUGGAGGAACAUGUUUCUGGUUAAUCUGCUCUGUUUUUUCUGGUUUUUUUUUUUUUUUUUUUUUUUUUU